AUGCGGGGAGAGGCCUCCCCUCCGGACCGACUCAAGCAACCGCUGCGCCCCCGCCGGAGCCUCGUGCUCCCUCCCCGGGGCUGGUCGGGAGUGGGGCCCUCCGGGCGCGGGCGGGGGGAGGGCGGCGCGGUUAGGUUCUGGGCGCAGCACCCGGCGCCCGGCCUCGGGGAACCAAGGAAUGUUUCUGGGAAAAGCAACGGGGAGGGGACGAGGAAGGGGGAAUGCGGCAUCCUUCCCCGAGGCCGCGACCCCGAGCGUGGCGGCCGAUCUCAUCCCCGGCGCUCCCCGGCCGAGAGCGCGGGAUCAGCAGGUGCCGGGCCACCUGUCCGGCGACGCUCGCCGGGGGCUAGGGCGGCCCCGGGGCCCGGGCACGCGUCGCGGAGGUGCGCCCGCGGCAGGUGGCCGCCCCGGAGCGCCCUCCCCCGCGCGCCCCCCGCCCCCGCCCCCGCCCCCGCCCCCCUCUGGCGGCUCCCCGGAGGUGCCCGUCGGCCUUGUCGGGGCUCAGCCCCGCGUGCCCCCCAGGCCCGGUCCUCUCAAACUCUCCGCCCCGCGUGGCCGCAGGCGCUCCCGGGAGCCGGGCGAGAGGGACCCGGGCGGCCGCCUUUAUCCUCCCAUCCCCCGCCGCGACCCGCCGGCGGCUCCGCCCCCACCCUCGCCCGGGCGACACCCGGCGCUCGGCCCGCCCCGCCCCCGCCCCCGCCCCGCCCCCGCCCGGCCGCCCCUCCCCGGCUCCCUCCGCGUGCGCCGCGCGCCGCGCUCGGUCUGCAGCGGGAGCCGCCGCGGCCGCCUCGCCAGCUGGCUGGGGACCAGGCGGGAGGUGGCGCGCCCGGGAGGCUGCGGGAGGGAGGGCGGGGGGGAGGCAGGCCUGGCCGCGCCGUAGCCCGGCCCCCGCCCCCGGCCCCCGCCCCCCGCGGCCCUCCCGCCCGAGCGAGGUGCCACGCGCGCGCGCACACCCGGGCGCACACACACACGCCCGGACACACGCGCACACACUCGGCUCCCUCCGGCGCGCACGCACGCAGCGCCCCUGGCAGACCAGCGCCGCGGCCGCCUCCCCGGACGCCCGGACGCCGGAGGGCCCCGACCCCGGCGCGGCUCAUGCGCCCGCGCCCCCCCCGCAGCUCCGCCAGGCCCGCGGGACCCCUCCCGCCGCCGCCGCCGCCGCCGCCGCCGCGCCCGCCGCCCCCGGAGGAGCGGGCUGGCCGGCCGCCGCCGCCGCCGCCGCCGCGCCGCCCCCCGGCCGCCCCCGAGGCCGCUCCGCCGCGGGCCCUGCCGCCCUGGGGCCGCGCCCCGCUCCCGCGCCCCGAGGGCUGA
rnacentral:lncRNA from 1 species